AGAAUGGUAUACCAAAGGAUGGGCCUUUAAAGGCCCCCUCACCAGGUCUGUCCAUUUUGAGCUUACAAGCGCAGUGCAUAUACAAUGCGCGCUAACGAUCGUGUCUGCUAAGUAUUGCAUCCAUACGCGGCGCGGUAAGAACUU
rnacentral:lncRNA from 1 species